GACGAACGCUGGCGGCGUGCUUAACACAUGCAAGUCGAACGGAAAGGCCCCUUCGGGGGUACUCGAGUGGCGAACGGGUGAGUAACACGUGAGUAACCUGCCCUUGACUUCGGGAUAACUUCAGGAAACUGGGGCUAAUACCGGAUAGGAAUCCUUGCUGCAUGGUGGGGGUUGGAAAGCUUCGGCGGUUUUGGAUGGACUCGCGGCUUAUCAGCUUGUUGGUGGGGUAGUGGCUUACCAAGGCUUUGACGGGUAGCCGGCCUGAGAGGGCGACCGGCCACAUUGGGACUGAGAUACGGCCCAGACUCCUACGGGAGGCAGCGGUGGGGAAUAUUGCACAAUGGGCGGAAGCCUGAUGCAGCAACGCCGCGUGCGGGAUGACGGCCUUCGGGUUGUAAACCGCUUUCAGCAGGGGCGAAGCUUGUGGUGACGGUACCUGCAGAAGAAGCACCGGCUAACUACGUG
rnacentral:rRNA from 1 species